UAGGGAAUCUUCCGCAAUGGACGCAAGUCUGACGGAGCAACGCCGCGUGAGUGACGAAGGAUUUCGGUUCGUAAAACUCUGUUGUUAGAGAAGAACAGCGCAUAGAGUAACUGUUAUGCGUGUGACGGUAUCUAACCAGAAAGCCACGGCUAACUACGUGCCAGCAGCCGCGGUAAUACGUAGGUGGCAAGCGUUGUCCGGAUUUAUUGGGCGUAAAGCGAGCGCAGGCGGUCAAUUAAGUCUGAUGUGAAAGCCCCCGGCUCAACCGGGGAGGGUCAUUGGAAACUGGUUGACUUGAGUGCAGAAGAGGAGAGUGGAAUUCCAUGUGUAGCGGUGAAAUGCGUAGAUAUAUGGAGGAACACCAGUGGCGAAGGCGACUCUCUGGUCUGUAACUGACGCUGAGGCUCGAAAGCGUGGGUAGCAAACAGG
rnacentral:rRNA from 1 species